rnacentral:rRNA from 1 species
AUUGAACGCUGGCGGCAUGCCUUACACAUGCAAGUCGAACGGCAGCACGGGAGCAAUCCUGGUGGCGAGUGGCGAACGGGUGAGUAAUAUAUCGGAACGUGCCCAGUAGUGGGGGAUAACUGCUCGAAAGAGCAGCUAAUACCGCAUACGACCUGAGGGUGAAAGGGGGGGAUCGCAAGACCUCUCGCUAUUGGAGCGGCCGAUAUCAGAUUAGCUAGUUGGUGGGGUAAAGGCCUACCAAGGCAACGAUCUGUAGUUGGUCUGAGAGGACGACCAGCCACACUGGGACUGAGACACGGCCCAGACUCCUACGGGAGGCAGCAGUGGGGAAUUUUGGACAAUGGGCGCAAGCCUGAUCCAGCAAUGCCGCGUGCAGGAAGAAGGCCUUCGGUUGGUAAACGUAGCUUUGUUCUAGGGAAGGAAAGUACCUCUA